rnacentral:rRNA from 1 species
AUUGAACGCUGGCGGCAGGCUUAACACAUGCAAGUCGAACGGUAGCAGGAGAAAGCUUGCUUUCUUGCUGACGAGUGGCGGACGGGUGAGUAAUGCUUGGGAAUCUGGCUUAUGGAGGGGGAUAACGACGGGAAACUGUCGCUAAUACCGCGUAUUAUCGGAAGAUGAAAGUGCGGGACUGAGAGGCCGCAUGCCAUAGGAUGAGCCCAAGUGGGAUUAGGUAGUUGGUGGGGUAAAUGCCUACCAAGCCUGCGAUCUCUAGCUGGUCUGAGAGGAUGACCAGCCACACUGGAACUGAGACACGGUCCAGACUCCUACGGGAGGCAGCAGUGGGGAAUAUUGCGCAAUGGGGGGAACCCUGACGCAGCCAUGCCGCGUGAAUGAAGAAGGCCUUCGGGUUGUAAAGUUCUUUCGGUAUUGAGGAAGGUUGAUGUGUUAAUAGCACAUCAAAUUGACGUUAAAUACAGAAGAAGCACCGGCUAACUCCGUGCCAGCAGCCGCGGUAAUACGGAGGGUGCGAGCGUUAAUCGGAAUAGCUGGGCGUAAAGGGCACGCAGGCGGUUAUUUAAGUGAGGUGUGAAAGCCCUGGGCUUAACCUAGGAAUUGCAUUUCAGACUGGGUAACUAGAGUACUUUAGGGAGGGGUAGAAUUCCACGUGUAGCGGUGAAAUGCGUAGAGAUGUGGAGGAAUACCGAAGGCGAAGGCAGCCCCUUGGGAAUGUACUGACGCUCAUGUGCGAAAGCGUGGGGAGCAAACAGG